AGAGUUUGAUCCUGGCUCAGGAUGAACGCUGGCGGCGUGCUUAACACAUGCAAGUCGAACGAUGAUGCCAGCUUGCUGGUGGAUUAGUGGCGAACGGGUGAGUAACACGUGAGUAACCUGCCCUUGACUCUGGGAUAAGCCUGGGAAACUGGGUCUAAUACCGGAUAUGACCUUCCAUCGCAUGGUGGUUGGUGGAAAGCUUUUGUGGUUUUGGAUGGACUCGCGGCCUAUCAGCUUGUUGGUGGGGUAAUGGCCUACCAAGGCGACGACGGGUAGCCGGCCUGAGAGGGUGACCGGCCACACUGGGACUGAGACACGGCCCAGACUCCUACGGGAGGCAGCAGUGGGGAAUAUUGCACAAUGGGCGCAAGCCUGAUGCAGCGACGCCGCGUGAGGGAUGACGGCCUUCGGGUUGUAAACCUCUUUCAGUAGGGAAGAAGCGUAAGUGACGGUACCUGCAGAAGAAGCGCCGGCUAACUACGUGCCAGCAGCCGCGGUAAUACGUAGGGCGCAAGCGUUAUCCGGAAUUAUUGGGCGUAAAGAGCUCGUAGGCGGUUUGUCGCGUCUGCCGUGAAAGUCCGGGGCUCAACUCCGGAUCUGCGGUGGGUACGGGCAGACUAGAGUGAUGUAGGGGAGACUGGAAUUCCUGGUGUAGCGG
rnacentral:rRNA from 1 species